rnacentral:piRNA from 1 species
GAUUUCUAAAUUAAGUGAGCAAGGUCC